rnacentral:ribozyme from 1 species
UAUAUAUUUCUUGAAAAUGUGAAAGGAUUUUAUGGCAGUGAAAUGCUGAAAACUUGGAAACAAGUGCUGAAGUCUUGUGGAUAUACAUGGAGGCAGUACUUGGUUUCGCCUUUUGAUGUUGGUGCGUUCUCCUUUCUUCUUCUUCUCUUCUUCUUCCUCUUCCUUUUGUUUCUUACUAAUUUUAUA